UACAGAGGGUGCGAGCGUUAAUCGGAAUUACUGGGCGUAAAGCGUGCGUAGACGGUUAUUUAAGUCGGGUGUGAAAGCCCCGGGCUCAACCUGGGAAUUGCAUUCGAGACUGAAUAGCUAGGGUACGGUAGAGGGAAGCGGAAUUUCCGGUGUAGCGGUGAAAUGCGUAGAUAUCGGAAGGAACAUCGGUGGCGAAGGCGGGACUCUGGGCCGAUACUGACGCUGAGGAGCGAAAGCGUGGGGAGCGAACAGG
rnacentral:rRNA from 1 species